rnacentral:rRNA from 1 species
UUUAUGGAGAGUUUGAUCCUGGCUCAGGAUGAACGCUGGCGGCGUGCCUAAUACAUGCAAGUCGAGCGAACGGACGAGAAGCUUGCUUCUCUGAUGUUAGCGGCGGACGGGUGAGUAACACGUGGAUAACCUACCUAUAAGACUGGGAUAACUUCGGGAAACCGGAGCUAAUACCGGAUAAUAUUUUGAACCGCAUGGUUCAAAAGUGAAAGACGGUCUUGCUGUCACUUAUAGAUGGAUCCGCGCUGCAUUAGCUAGUUGGUAAGGUAACGGCUUACCAAGGCAACGAUGCAUAGCCGACCUGAGAGGGUGAUCGGCCACACUGGAACUGAGACACGGUCCAGACUCCUACGGGAGGCAGCAGUAGGGAAUCUUCCGCAAUGGGCGAAAGCCUGACGGAGCAACGCCGCGUGAGUGAUGAAGGUCUUCGGAUCGUAAAACUCUGUUAUUAGGGAAGAACAUAUGUGUAAGUAACUGUGCACAUCUUGACGGUACCUAAUCAGAAAGCCACGGCUAACUACGUGCCAGCAGCCGCGGUAAUACGUAGGUGGCAAGCGUUAUCCGGAAUUAUUGGGCGUAAAGCGCGCGUAGGCGGUUUUUUAAGUCUGAUGUGAAAGCCCACGGCUCAACCGUGGAGGGUCAUUGGAAACUGGAAAACUUGAGUGCAGAAGAGGAAAGUGGAAUUCCAUGUGUAGCGGUGAAAUGCGCAGAGAUAUGGAGGAACACCAGUGGCGAAGGCGACUUUCUGGUCUGUAACUGACGCUGAUGUGCGAAAGCGUGGGGAUCAAACAGGAUUAGAUACCCUGGUAGUCCACGCCGUAAACGAUGAGUGCUAAGUGUUAGGGGGUUUCCGCCCCUUAGUGCUGCAGCUAACGCAUUAAGCACUCCGCCUGGGGAGUACGACCGCAAGGUUGAAACUCAAAGGAAUUGACGGGGACCCGCACAAGCGGUGGAGCAUGUGGUUUAAUUCGAAGCAACGCGAAGAACCUUACCAAAUCUUGACAUCCUUUGACAACUCUAGAGAUAGAGCCUUCCCCUUCGGGGGACAAAGUGACAGGUGGUGCAUGGUUGUCGUCAGCUCGUGUCGUGAGAUGUUGGGUUAAGUCCCGCAACGAGCGCAACCCUUAAGCUUAGUUGCCAUCAUUAAGUUGGGCACUCUAAGUUGACUGCCGGUGACAAACCGGAGGAAGGUGGGGAUGACGUCAAAUCAUCAUGCCCCUUAUGAUUUGGGCUACAC